rnacentral:rRNA from 1 species
AGUGAACGCUGGCGGUAGGCCUAACACAUGCAAGUCGAACGGCAGCACAGUAAGAGCUUGCUCUUACGGGUGGCGAGUGGCGGACGGGUGAGGAAUACAUCGGAAUCUACUUUUUCGUGGGGGAUAACGUAGGUAAACUUACGCUAAUACCGCAUACGAUCUACGGUUGAAAGCAUGGGAUCUUCGGACCUUGCGCGAUUGAAUGAGCCGAUUUCGGAUUAGCUAGUUGGCGGGGUAAAGGCCCACCAAGGCGACGAUCCGUAGCUGGUCUGAGAGGAUGAUAAGCCACACUGGAACUGAGACACGGUCCAGACUCCUACGGGAGGCAGCAGUGGGGAAUAUUGGACAAUGGGCGCAAGCCUGAUCCAGCGAUACCGCGUGGGUGAAGAAGGCCUUCGGGUUGUAAAGCCCUUUUGUUGGGAAAGAAAAGCAGCAGGUUAAUACCCAGCUGUUCUGACGGUACCCAAAGAAUAAGCACCGGCUAACUUCGUG